AACACUACAGGAAAAAGGUAAAUCUCUCCCUCUCAUUUCAAAGGGUAAACCCCGCUCUCUCUCUCGACCUCCCCUGCACCGCCGCGAUGAUGCCGUACGACGUCCCACCGCCAUCGCCGAUAUUUACUUCGGCAAAGCCUGCCGUCGCUUAAAUUUAUUGCUAAGCGUCAUCGUUUAAGGAAGCAGCUACAUCUAUAUCUCGAUUUGCUUCGCUUCAGUUCUCACACACUCUCUCUCUCUCAUAUUUCAAUCUCCACCCACGACCCCAUCUCUCAUUCCAUUUCAACCCCGCCCUUUCUCUCUCAUUCUUUCAAUCUGCGCCCAUCUCUGCCUAUCUUUCUCUCAUUCGAUUCAAUUAAUCUCAGCCCAUCACCGCCAAUUGUGCGACGUGAUAUGAAUCUAGGGCUUUAGCGAAUCAGUUUUUGUGGCUUCGAGUUGAUUGCGGGCUUUGCGGCUUCUGGAAUUCAAAGGCUUGUUGUUGAUACAAUCACAAGGAUUUGAAUCAAAUUUUCGUGACUUGAGUGAAGAAGGGCCUCUAUAUUGAAUCAUGGUUGAGAAAUUGUUUCUGUGGUGGUCAAUGGAGGUUUGGAUCUGGCAGUAUAUAACUAGUAUUUCUUUGAAUUGAAUCCUUUGAAACGUUGGCAGGUUCUGUACUCAAACAGAGUAGUUCUGGUUAGCGUGGUGUGAACGCUGUCAAGCUCUGACAGCUAUAUGGGAGAAAGCUUCUACUGUUAAAGGUGUGACCACCAUAGCGGCCCUUGCUGCUGAUGCAUACAAGUCCCUUGCUCAGGAUUGCAAGUAUUGGAGUGUUUUUGGUAAUGAUGGUAAUGGGAAGAUCACAAGUUGAUUUACUUUUAUGCUAAUAGUAGCCAAGAUUGUAUAUAUGAAACUCUAUUGGAUGCGAGGAUUCCCAACAAUAAAAACCUCCAGUUGAUUAUUUGGGAGCGCGAGAGAUGUGAAUCCCAUUGCAGAAUUUUCACUCCAACAGGCAAUAGAUAUGCUAUCCAACUCUAGGGGUUCAGUUCGUAUCAUAUUCCUGGUUACUGAUGGGGCAGUUGAAGAUGAGAGACAAAUAUGCGAUGAAAUAAAAAAGCAUCUUGCAAGUGAGGAUGCGAUAUCCCCUCGUAUAUACACUUUUGGAAUAGGUAAUGGUAAUUCGUGCUAUUAGAGCUCGUGGUAGUUGCAGAUUAUAUAUUCCUUAAGAAAAUAUUCCUCUGAUUAUAGUAUUACAUUUGUAGUAGAAGCUUAAAGAGGAUUUUCACCAGCUAGGUGGGGUGUGGUUGCAAAGUUGCAAUGCCUUAACCAUUCUAUUGUGGUUCCAUCCUCAGCCAUCAAUGAUGUGUAUUGACAUGAAAUGCUUCAAACUGUUCCAGACUCGCAGCUGAACUAAGGUGGUGUUUGUUACACGGGAUUGGACUGGAUUGGACAUUCUUAUCUAGUCCAAUCCCAGUUAUCCCAUGUUUGGCAGCAAGGGGACUCUUUUUAAUGAGACUCCACAGUCCCAAAAACCACCCCGACACCGUCUACCACAAACCCACCAAAAACCAUGGGAUUGUGGAAGCCACUCUCACUCGAUCUACUCUUCCCUUCUGAUGAGGUCACCGUUCGGAGCUAUGCUGGUUUCGCAGGUUGGUGGUGUUGAAGCUUUGCUGGUUUUGGAGCUUUGCUGGUGUUGAAGGCUUCAUACCCAGAAAGUCAUGAAACAUUGGCUUCACUAAUUGGUCUUCUUCUUCCUGCUUCAGCUUCUGCUGCUUUUGGGUACUGGCAUUGUUGCUGGGCAGAGCCAUUUUCAGUACGGCCAUCUCAGACCCAUAAUACCACUCACUCGAUCUGGUGCAGUGUUGGGUGUAAAGAGAAGAAAAAGAGAGCGCGAUUUUCAGGAAAGGAAAAAAAGAAAAGAGAGCAAUUAAAAGCAAAAGGUGGGUUCUUGAAAAGAAAAGAGAAGCAAAAGGUGGGUUCGAAAAGAAAAGAGAGCAAUUAAAAGCAAAAGGUUGGAAGGUGUGUGCUCAAGUGCUUUGUGUGUUUUCUUCUGGCAAUUAUUUUUGUUGUUUGCAUUGACAGAGAGAGAAGAGAGAGUGUAUAGAAUACAAUGCAAUGGGGUUUGUGUCUGGGUGUUGAAGGUUUUGCAGGUUGGUGGUGUUGAAGCUUUGCUGGUGUUGAAGGUUUUGCAGGUUGGUGGUUUUGCAGGUUGGUUCUAUAUUUAAUCCCGCUGGCACCAAACAUGGGUCAAGGAACUCUAUAGCAUAACCUGGCUUGAAGAGUGGAGGACUCUAAAAGAAAUUAAGCCGGGGUAACACAAUCCCCCCUAACAAACACGGCCUAAAAGUGUUAGUUUCACCUACCAUUAUCUAGUUUGAUGGUUAUGUCUACUUUGAGGUAGUCCUCAAAGCAUUUUGAUGUAUGCUCAUUCUUGGACAAGGAUUAUGUUGUUAAAGGGGGAAAAUCUUAGUGAUAUUCCACCUUGAACAACAAUGUAUACUAGGAAUGUAAAGAACAUCUUGCUAUGAAUGUAAAGUUUAUUCAUGUUUGAUUGA